CGGCAAUGGAGGAAACUCUGACCGAGCAACGCCGCGUGAACGAUGAAGUAUUUCGGUACGUAAAGUUCUUUUAUUAGGGAAGAAUAAAUGAUGGAAAAAUCAUUCUGACGGUACCUAAUGAAUAAGCCCCGGCUAACUAUGUGCCAGCAGCCGCGGUAAUACAUAGGGGGCAAGCGUUAUCCGGAAUUAUUGGGCGUAAAGGGUGCGUAGGCGGUUAAAUAAGUUUAUGGUCUAAGUGCAAUGCUUAACAUUGUGAUGCUAUAAAAACUGUUUAACUAGAGUAAGAUAGAGGCAAGUGGAAUUCCAUGUGUAGUGGUAAAAUGCGUAAAUAUAUGGAGGAACACCAGUAGCGAAGGCGGCUUGCUGGGUCUUUACUGACGCUGAGGCACGAAAGCGUGGGGAGCAAACAGGAUUAGAUACCCUGGUAGUCCACGCCGUAAACGAUGAGUACUAAAUGUUGGGUAAAACCAGUGUUGAAGUUAACACAUUAAGUACUCCGCCUGAGUAGUACGUACGCAAGUAUGAAACUUAAAGGAAUUGACGGGACUCCGCACAAGCGGUGGAUCAUGUUGUUUAAUUCGAAGGUACCCGAAAAACCUCACCAGGUCUUGACAUGCUUCUGCAAAGCUGUAGAAACACAGUGGAGGUUAUCAGUUGCACAGGUGGUGCAUGGUUGUCGUCAGCUCGUGUCGUGAGAUGUUGGGUUAAGUCCCGCAACGAGCGCAACCCUUAUUGUUAGUUGCCAGCACGUAAUGGUGGGGACUUUAGCAAGACUGCCAGUGAUAAAUUGGAGGAAGGUGGGGACGACGUCAAAUCAUCAUGCCCCUUAUGACCUGGGCUACAAACGUGAUACAAUGGCUGUUACAAAGGGUAGCUGAC
rnacentral:rRNA from 1 species